rnacentral:rRNA from 1 species
GACGAACGCUGGCGGCGUGCUUAACACAUGCGAGUCGAACGGAAAGGCCCUGCUUUUGUGGGGUGCUCGAGUGGCGAACGGGUGAGUAACACGUGAGUAACCUGCCCUUGACUUUGGGAUAACUUCAGGAAACUGGGGCUAAUACCGGAUAGGAGCUCCUGCUGCAUGGUGGGGGUUGGAAAGUUUCGGCGGUUGGGGAUGGACUCGCGGCUUAUCAGCUUGUUGGUGGGGUAGUGGCUUACCAAGGCUUUGACGGGUAGCCGGCCUGAGAGGGUGACCGGCCACAUUGGGACUGAGAUACGGCCCAGACUCCUACGGGAGGCAGCAGUGGGGAAUAUUGCACAAUGGGCGGAAGCCUGAUGCAGCAACGCCGCGUGUGGGAUGACGGCCUUCGGGUUGUAAACCGCUUUCGCCUGUGACGAAGCGUGAGUGACGGUAAUGGGUAAAGAAGCACCGGCUAACUACGUG